rnacentral:rRNA from 1 species
CCAACCUUGAAAUACCACCCUUUAAUGUUUGAUGUUCUAACGUUGGCCCCUGACCGGGGUUGCGGACAGUGUCUGGUGGGUAGUUUGACUGGGGCGGUCUCCUCCCAAAGCGUAACGGAGGAGCACGAAGGUUAGCUAAUCCUGGUCGGACAUCAGGAGGUUAGUGCAAUGGCAUAAGCUAGCUUGACUGCGAGCGUGACGGCGCGAGCAGGUGCGAAAGCAGGUCAUAGUGAUCCGGUGGUUCUGAAUGGAAGGGCCAUCGCUCAACGGAUAAAAGGUACUCCGGGGAUAACAGGCUGAUACCGCCCAAGAGUUCAUAUCGACGGCGGUGUUUGGCACCUCGAUGUCGGCUCAUCACAUCCUGGGGCUGA